GGCAUGCCUGGCCGAGUGGUUAGUGUGUUGUUUGUUAAGCGAGAGGUCACGAGUUCGAACCCCCUUGGGGCCG
rnacentral:tRNA from 1 species